rnacentral:rRNA from 1 species
UACGGAGGGUGCAAGCGUUGUCCGGAUUCACUGGGUGUAAAGGGUGUGUAGGCGGAGCAGCAAGUCAGUGGUGAAAGCCUGCGGCUUAACCGUAGAACUGCCAUAGAUACUGCUGUUCUUGAGUACUGGAGAGGCUGCUAGAAUUCGUGGUGUAGCGGUGAAAUGCGUAGAUAUCACGAGGAAUACCAGAGGCGUAGGCGGGUAGCUAGACAGAUACUGACGCUGAGGCACGAAAGCGUGUGGAGCAAACAGG